rnacentral:lncRNA from 1 species
CUGUGGUUCCCUAUGGAAACACUGACAAGAACAGGUGGAAGAAAUAUGUGGUCUUCGGUUAAAAACUCUUCAGGGUUCAAAGAAGGGCACUCUCACAUCAUGUGAUGGGUGAGCUCUAGUCAUUCUGUGAGAGGAACUCCAGGAGACCAGAUCCAACUCGCAAUCAGCUAUAGUGAAGUUAUGAUAUGAGAAGCACCAACUUGGCACAAGACUUGGGAAAGGCAAUGAGGCAGCAGGCAAGCUUUAAGGGAUGACACUUACCUUGAGGGAGCAAGGACAAGUUGUGACCUUCCCAGUCCUCUCUCCAUUUGCAGAUCAGCAAGCUUCUGUCAGCAAGGAGGGGUGGACAAUGAAACUGGGUUCAGCUUGAUUUGUUUUUUGAGACAGGUAUGGCAAGGGGCUGCCAACAAGAUCAAGCUGCAGAGGAAACAGCCACCUGGGGCGUGUUCUUACGUUGCCUGGAAGCUGCACAAGAGGCCAAGUCAAAACAUGCAGGUACAUUUAC